UUUUAAAGCUCCGUGGUCUCCACGGCGCAUUGUAGACUAAAGUUGGUGUAUCUUGUACAGCCCGGGUAUAGAUCCGUUGGAACGCGGUAUCAUAGAGGGUGAGAAUCCCGUCUGUGACUCGGUGUCUGUGCAUCUACGUUACGCUAACGACGAGUCGGGUUGUUUGGGAAUGCAGCCCAAAAUGGGUGGUAAAUUUCAUCUAAAGCUAAAUAUGGGCACGAGACCGAUAGCGAACAAGUACCAUGAGGGAAAGAUGAAAAGAACUUUGAAAAGAGAGUCAAAAAGUACGUGAAACCGUUAAAGGGGAAACGAAUGGGGCUAGCAUUUGUACUUGCCAUAAUCAGUCAGACGUCUUGAGGUGCAGCUGUAUUGAGAGUGUUAAAGCCUCAUGCGGUUGUUUCCAAGGGAACGGCUGGUGCACUUGUGGUUGGUACAGGCCAACAUCAGUUCGGGCUUUGUGAAACACUUCAGGGGAAGGUAGUUACGGCGCUUCGGUGUCGUAAUGUUAUAACCUCUGUUGCAAAGCAAGGCCUGGACUGAGGAGUAGCAGCACGCAACUUCGGAGAGCUACCGCUGUUGUUGCUGGCAGGUUGGACUGUCUAAAGGCAGUGCUGUCUGUCACGCAGCCUCAUACGGGGUCUACCCAGAAACGUGCUUAUGAUGUUGGCGAAAUGGCUUCAUCCGACCCGUCUUGAAACACGGACCAAGGAGUCUAACAUAUACGCGAGUCUUUGGGUUGAAAGCCCGCAGGCGCAAUGAAAGUGAAGGUACACUUGGUGUGCUGAGGUGAGAUUUACAAUUGCAUCAUCGACCGAUCUGGAUGGUUUCCUGAAAGAUUUGAGUAAGAGCGUAUCUGUUGGGACCCGAAAGAUGGUGAACUAUGCCUGAACAGGGUGAAGUCUGAGGAAACUCAGAUGGAAGCUCGUAGCGAUUCUGACGUGCAAAUCGAUCGUCUGAUUUGGGUAUAGGGGCGAAAGACUAAUCGAACUAUCUAGUAGCUGGUUCCCUCCGAAGUUUCCCUCAGGAUAGCUGGAACUAUUAGCAGUUUUAUCAGGUAAAGCGAAUGAUUAGAGGCCUUGGGGUUGAAAUAACCUCAACCUAUUCUCAAACUUUAAAUAGGUAAGAAGCCUGGCUUGCUUAAUUGAAGUCAGGCACUGAAUGCAAGUUCCAAGUGGGCCAUUUUUGGUAAGCAGAACUGGCGAUGCGGGAUGAACCGAACGCGAAGUUAAAGUGCCAAAAUUCACGCUCACCUAGAACCCAGAAAAGGUGUUGGCUGAUGAAGACAGCAGGACGGUGGCCAUGGAAGUCGGAACCCGCUAAGGAGUGUGUAACAACUCACCUGCCGAAUCAGCCAGCCCUGAAAAUGGAUGGCGCUCAAGCGUGAUACUUAUACUUCGCCGUUGCUGUAAGAGACUAUACCGCAACGAGUAGGAGGGCGUGGAGGUCGUGAAGCAGCCUAGGGCGUAAGCCUGGGUGAA
rnacentral:rRNA from 3 species